AUCAGAACCUCUCCAUAGACCCGUUACAUGACAAUCUUUCUACAAUAUUGGCUGCAAAUAUAGAACAGUGGUAGCAAUGGUGAUCUAUACAGUUAUAGAUUAUGUCAAUAGCGUCACAGGAAGUGCCACAGCAG